rnacentral:rRNA from 1 species
UACGUAGGGUGCGAGCGUUUGUCCGGAAUUAUUGGGCGUAAAGGGCUCGUAGGCGGUUUGUCGCGUCGGGAGUGAAAACCAUGAGCUUAACUCAUGGCUUGCUUUCGAUACGGGCAGACUAGAGGUAUGCAGGGGAGAACGGAAUUCCUGGUGUAGCGGUGAAAAUGCGCAGAUAUCAGGAGGAACACCGGUGGCGAAGGCGGUCUCUGGGCAUUACCUGACGCUGAGGAGCGAAAGCGUGGGGAGCGAACAGG